UACCAGCACCCCGAGUGGUCGGGACGAUUAUUGGGCCUAAAGCAUCCGUAGCCGGUCAUGCAAGUCUUCCGUUAAAUCCAGCCGCUCAACGGUUGGGCUGCGGAGGAUACUACGUGGUUAGGAGGCGGGAGAGGCAAGCGGUACUCAGUGGGUAGGGGUAAAAUCCUUUGAUCCAUUGAAGACCACCAGUGGCGAAGGCGGCUUGCCAGAACGCGCUCGACGGUGAGGGAUGAAAGCUGGGGGAGCAAACCGG
rnacentral:rRNA from 1 species